GACGAACGCUGGCGGCGUGCCUAAUACAUGCAAGUAGAACGCUGAAGAGAGGAGCUUGCUCUUCUUGGAUGAGUUGCGAACGGGUGAGUAACGCGUAGGUAACCUGCCUGGUAGCGGGGGAUAACUAUUGGAAACGAUAGCUAAUACCGCAUAAAAUUGAUUAUUGCAUGAUAAUUAAUUGAAAGAUGCAACUGCAUCACUACCAGAUGGACCUGCGUUGUAUUAGCUAGUUGGUGAGGUAACGGCUCACCAAGGCGACGAUACAUAGCCGACCUGAGAGGGUGAGCGGCCACACUGGGAGGGAGACACGGCCCAGACUCCUACGGGAGGCAGCAGUAGGGAAUCGUCGGCAAUGGGGGGAACCCUGACCGAGCAACGCCGCGUGAGUGAAGAAGGUUUUCGGAUCGUAAAGCUCUGUUGUAAGAGAAGAACGGGUGUGAGAGUGGAAAGUUCACACUGUGACGGUAUCUUACCAGAAAGGGACGGCUAACUACGUG
rnacentral:rRNA from 1 species